rnacentral:lncRNA from 1 species
GGAUUGUAUGUUUGAGCUUUGUGUCUGCUUGACCUAUUUCUUUCUAAUCCUUCUUCUUUGCUGUGGGAUUCUUACACCAAAGAAUAUAGCAUCGAAUACGAGGAAUAAGUAACAUUUAAUUACAAUUAAUGCUUGUCCUAAGCUUCAAAACACUCUUUUUAAUUAUGAAGGGGUUCAGUCUUCCUAAGCUUCAAAACACUCUUUAUAAUUAAGAAGGCAUUCAGUAUUCCGGGUACUGGCUCCCUAUUUUGCCACUCAACAUUGAGCGGCAGUCGUUCAAGAUCUCUUGAAAAAAAAGAGAACAUAGUAUGGACCAUGAAUGGAUGCCAAUGAGUCCCCAUGACUACAGCAGCCGAAGCCACACUCGCAGUCCCGAGACGCAUAGUUCUCCAUAUUCUUCAAAAGGAAAGAACCAGUGCCCAACUCCUAAUGAAAAUAGGGCUGGCCUAUCUCCUGACAUGGCAAAUGAUUGUAUGUAAUUUGAGCUUUAACAAGACGAUUUGGUGUUUUAACAUGUGAUACUCAUCUCAAGCAGUCCACAAAACAAAGAAAGAGAACCGGGAAGAGUAUUCACGUGAGAGAGACAGCGAGAUGACGGUGAUGAUGGUGUAUGAUAGUGGUGGUCGACGUAUGUGAAGAUGAUUCUGACAUAACUAUUUGUCUCUGGCGACACUUGCAAGACUCUGAUUACGAAGUGGGGAUGAUGAUGUCACUCGGAUCCGAAUGUCGUAUUCCUAUGCUGAAGUUUGCUUCCUAAAUAUACAGCUUGAACAUGAUGUAUGAG